CGGUUUAUCGGGGAUUACUGGGGCGUAAAGCGUGUGUAGGCGGUUCGGAAAGAAAGAUGUGAAAUCCCAGGGCUCAACCUUGGAACUGCAUUUUUAACUGCCGAGCUAGAGUAUGUCAGAGGGGGGUAGAAUUCCACGUGUAGCAGUGAAAUGCGUAGAUAUGUGGAGGAAUACCGAUGGCGAAGGCAGCCCCCUGGGAUAAUACUGACGCUCAGACACGAAAGCGUGGGGAGCAAACAGGAUUAGAUACCCUGGUAGUCCACGCCCUAAACGAUGUCAACUAGCUGUUGGGGCCGUUAGGCCUUAGUAGCGCAGCUAACGCGUGAAGUUGACCGCCUGGGGAGUACGGUCGCAAGAUUAAAACUCAAAGGAAUUGACGGGGACCCGCACAAGCGGUGGAUGAUGUGGAUUAAUUCGAUGCAACGCGAAAAACCUUACCUACCCUUGACAUGUCUGGAAAGCCGAAGAGAUUUGGCCGUGCUCGCAAGAGAACCGGAACACAGGUGCUGCAUGGCUGUCGUCAGCUCGUGUCGUGAGAUGUUGGGUUAAGUCCCGCAACGAGCGCAACCCUUGUCAUUAGUUGCUACGCAAGAGCACUCUAAUGAGACUGCCGGUGACAAACCGGAGGAAGGUGGGGAUGACGUCAAGUCCUCAUGGCCCUUAUGGGUAGGGCUUCACACGUCAUACAAUGGUCGGGACAGAGGGUCGCCAACCCGCGAGGGGGAGCCAAUCUCAGAAACCCGAUCGUAGUCCGGAUCGCAGUCUGCAACUCGACUGCGUGAAGUCGGAAUCGCUAGUAAUCGCGGAUCAGAAUGUCGCGGUGAAUACGUUCCCGGGUCUUGUACACACCGCCCGUCACACCAUGGGGAGUGGGUUUCACCAGAAGUAGGUAGCCUAACCGCAAGGAGGGCGCUUACCACGGUGGGAUCAUGAUGGGUACAGAAAAAAAAAAGGGGGGA
rnacentral:rRNA from 1 species